rnacentral:rRNA from 1 species
GAUGAACGCUAGCGGCAGGCUUAAUACAUGCAAGUCGAGGGGCAGCAUGAAUGUAGCAAUACAUUUGAUGGCGACCGGCAAACGGGUGCGGAACACGUACACAACCUUCCUAUAAGUGGGGAAUAGCCCAGAGAAAUUUGGAUUAAUACCCCGUAACAUAAUGAUGUGGCAUCACAUUAUUAUUAUAGCUACGGCGCUUAUUGAUGGGUGUGCGGCUGAUUAGAUAGUUGGCGGGGUAACGGCCCACCAAGUCUACGAUCAGUAGCUGAUGUGAGAGCAUGAUCAGCCACACGGGCACUGAGACACGGGCCCGACUCCUACGGGAGGCAGCAGUAAGGAAUAUUGGUCAAUGGACGCAAGUCUGAACCAGCCAUGCCGCGUGAAGGAUUAAGGUCCUCUGGAUUGUAAACUUCUUUUAUCUGGGACGAAAAAAGGCGAUUCUCCGUCACUUGACGGUACCAGAUGAAUAAGCACCGGCUAACUCCGUGCCAGCAGCCGCUGUAACAC